rnacentral:rRNA from 1 species
UGGGGAAUUUUCCGCAAUGGGCGAAAGCCUGACGGAGCAAUGCCGCGUGGAGGUGGAAGGCCUACGGGUCGUCAACUUCUUUUCUCGGAGAAGAAACAAUGACGGUAUCUGAGGAAUAAGCAUCGGCUAACUCUGUGCCAN